rnacentral:lncRNA from 1 species
GAAUUAGGCUGUCCCCUUUUGAGGGAGCAGCUCGGAUGGUGGCGUAACCUCGCAGGCCCUGGGCAGGGGCUCCGGGGAAUUCCUGGCCAAAAGGCUUCUCAUCUGUAACUGGUGAAGCCCGGAAGAGCUUGUUGUUCAAGAGGAAAUCUUGUGUUACUUCUUUAUGAAGGACUCCAGCCUGGUGGAGAUGAAUGAGUCCUGAAGAUGGAAUCGAAGCUGUUUGGGCACAAUACUUUAAUCAGCAUUUAAUGACCCAGUCGAAAAUUCAUUGUUUGGACCCAAGCACUGGUGGGAAAGGCAGGAGGGGAGGCCUGCCUUCCUUCCUCCCUCCCGAGCCCUACAGCAGGCCAUGGAGUGGUGAGCGAGUUCGUACAGUGCCAACCACAUUCCCAGAAACUUCCAGCAGAGGUUAAUCCUGCUCCUCUCAGGUGGGCUUGGCCCAUUCUCUAGACUUUGGAAGGUAAUGUUCUAUAGAGGCCUGUUCUGAAGCUUUACCAGGUCAAACCGGAGAAGAACCCAACAAGUAACUCAUCCCAGCCUAACUAUUCUUCAAGGGCAAUCAACCUACAGCAUCCAAGCACAGAGAAAUCAAAUCCAUGGAGAAUCUUCAAAUUAGGCUCAGAAUCCAUUUGGGUCAAUGAAUUUACUGUUAUUAAGAUCUUAGUUGUGUUCAACCAUGAUUUGACAUACCUUAGAGUGAGAAGAUAUUCUUCCUGGCCUCAGACUAGUUGAAGGUAGAGAGAGAGACAGGCCCUUGGGUGUGGGGAGACCUCUCCUGGGAUAAUACACACAAAAAACCAAGAGCUGCUCACUGUGGUGCAGGAGACAGCAGGGCCUGAAGCCAGAGGCUCUGUGUCCUUGAAUACAAUGUUUUACUCCUCUGACCCCUGUUACUGUGAUUUGGAGAGGCAGACAAUAUAGGAUGGGCUUUGCAGGCAGGGAGGUCCAGUUAUAAUCCCAGCUCUUACUAAGUUGGGUAAGACUCACUCUGAGACUUAGUUUCUUCUGUCAUCUCUCAAUAGAAUCAUAAAGGUACUUUCCUCUUAGUGUUGUUUUAAAAUUCAGUAAAAUAAUGCAGGCUUAGCACAGGGUCUGAUGUAAAUUUUCAAUGAAUUAUCGUUGUCAAUAUUGUUCUGGAAAACAAGAGGGCAUAUUAGAAGAUCAAAAGUACUGCCAAGCAUUGAAGUGCCAAUUCUAGAUCCAGUCUCAGCCCUCUGAGAAUGGAUAUCAUUGUUUUCAAGCCAUUCAGAAACCAAUGUGAAUUGAACACCUAGUAUGAGCUCUCUGAGGGAAGAGCCAAGUCAUGCAUUUUUUAUCUUAAGGGGUCUUCAAUACCUCUAGCCCAAAACAGUAUCUCCAUCAGGAUUCUUCUCUGAUAGUGUUCAUUUCUUUUUUCUCAAUGGAUGCCUUAAAAAAAAAAUCCUACAAGGAAACCUGUACUCCUCAAAUACACCACUCAGGUGACCAUUAAAUCAUUUACAUUGUUAAUUUCUUUUCAGAUGUGUGUCUUUUUCCCUAGUUACAUCAUCAGGACCUUGAAGGUAGGGACAGGUCUUAGAUUUCUUGAUGCCCCCAUAAAUCUAGGUACAGAGUAGGUCUCUGGACAUCAGUAUAAGGCCCAUGAGCCUGAUAGCUGCCCAGGUGGGUGCUGUGUGCCUGGGCGUGGGAAGGACAAAAGAGAGGUCACUAAAGGGGUUCCUGGGAAGGAAGAGCCCCUCUGACUUUAAAAGGGAGCCCAUACACUUUUUGGACAACUGGAAUAAUCAGAAAGCUGUUUUUGGGGAGGCAGCAGCCAGAAAAACCUGGGGCAUUGGGUCAACCAAAGCCCUUCCCAAGGCUGCAGUGGCUGCAGCUAGUUAGCCCAGCUUCCCUACCAGCCCCAGGGCUGCAACUGAACAGUGUUGGCUUCUUAAUAAAAACAG